rnacentral:rRNA from 1 species
UACGGAGGGUGCGAGCGUUGUCCGGAAUCAUUGGGCGUAAAGGGCGCGUAGGUGGCCCGGUCAGUCUUUGGUGAAAGCGCGGGGCUCAACCCUGCGUCGGCCAGGGAUACUGCCGCGGCUGGAGCACUGUAGAGGCAGGCGGAAUUCCGGGUGUAGCGGUGGAAUGCGUAGAGAUCCGGAAGAACACCGGUGGCGAAGGCGGGCUGCUGGGCAGUUUUGCUGACACUGAGGCGCGACAGCGUGGGGAGCAAACAGG